ensembl:snRNA U6 U6 spliceosomal RNA
CUGCUCACUUUGACAGCACAUAUACAAAUAUUGGAACAAUACAGGGAAGAUUAGCAUGGCCACUGCGCAAUGAUCACAUGUAAAUUCGUGAAGCGUUCCAUGUUUUU